rnacentral:rRNA from 1 species
CCUACGGGAGGCAGCAGUGAGGAAUAUUGGUCAAUGGGCUUACGCCUGAACCAGCCAAGUCGCGUGAGGGAAGACUGCCCUAUGGGUUGUAAACCUCUUUUGUCAGGGAGCAACGCCGGCUACGUGUAGCCGGACUGAGAGUACCUGAAGAAAAAGCAUCGGCUAACUCCGUGCCAGCAGCCGCGGUAAUACGGAGGAUGCGAGCGUUAUCCGGAUUGAUUGGGUUUAAAGGGUGCGUAGGCGGAAUGCCAAGUCAGCGGUAAAAUCGCGGGGCUCAACCUCGCUCCGCCGUUGAAACUGGCGUUCUUGAGUGGGCGAGAAGUAUGCGGAAUGCGUGGUGUAGCGGUGAAAUGCAUAGAUAUCACGCAGAACUCCGAUUGCGAAGGCAGCAUACCGGCGCCCGACUGACGCUGAGGCACGAAAGCGUGGGUAUCGAACAGGAUUAGAUACCCUAGUAGUC